AACCAGACUCCUACGGGAGGCAGCAGUAGGGAAUUUUCGGCAAUGGGGGGAACCCUGACCGAGCAACGCCGCGUGAACGAAGAAGUUAUUCGUAAUGUAAAGUUCUUUUAUCAGGGAAGAAAGAGGAAUUUGACGGUACCUGAGGAAUAAGCUCCGGCUAACUACGUGCCAGCAGCCGCGGUAAUACGGGGGAUGCGAGCGUUAUCCGGAUUUAUUGGGUUUAAAGGGUGCGUAGGCGGCGCUUCAGGUCAGCGGUGAAAUACCGGGGCUCAACCCCGGGGCUGCCGUUGAAACCGGAGCGCUAGAAUUCCGAUGCCGUCGGAGGAAUGUGUGGUGUAGCGGUGAAAUGCAUAGAUAUCACACAGAACACCGAUUGCGAAGGCAUCUGACGAAUCGGAGAUUGACGCUGAUGCACGAAAGCGUGGGUAUCGAACAGGAUUAGAUACCCCCGUA
rnacentral:rRNA from 1 species